rnacentral:tRNA from 1 species
GCCAAUGUAGCUCAGCCUGGCUAGAGCACUCGCCUUGUAAGCGAAAGGUCGCGAGUCCAAAUCUCGCCAUUGGCUCCA